UACGGAGGAUGCGAGCGUUAUCCGGAUUUAUUGGGUUUAAAGGGUGCGUAGGCGGCCUUGUAAGUCAGCGGUGAAAUUUUGCAGCUUAACUGUAAAAGUGCCGUUGAUACUGUGAGGCUAGGAUGUGGUUGAUGUGGGUGGAAUGUGUGGUGUAGCGGUGAAAUGCUUAGAGAUCACACAGAAUAUCGAUUGCGAAGGCAGCUCACAAAGCCAAGAUUGACGCUGAGGCACGAAAGUGUGGGGAUCAAACA
rnacentral:rRNA from 1 species